CAUAACGAAAAACAUAAGCAGAACUGCAGAACUCCAACAACUGCAUCCAUGAUCCACCAUAAAUCCUUAAUUCAUUGAGCACAAUUGAAACUUGAAGACAGCUAAUCCAUCAGCAGACAGUAUUGUACAAUACAAGUUUCAGUUUCAAACUGCAAGCUCAAUGGAUAAUUUUUUAACUACUAAUUCAAAUAUAUUUGACAUGUUUCAUAUCAUAAUUGUAAUCGAGUUUCAGAUUUCCAGUAAAUCAAUCGUCCAGUGCAAAAGGUGACUUAAUGAACACCGUAGUUGCACCUGAAAUGAGCAAACAAAACAUAAGACAUAUACGUACACUCCACAUCAGUCUCAUGUACAUCAUAAUUAAUAAGUUAGUACUUGUGAAUGGUAAUAGUUUUAGUGUCUUACCCCCACUUGCUGGAUCCUAAGUAGAUGAGUCUUCAAGUGUCAAUGCAGAGAAAACCUCCCCCAUUGAAUACAUUCCAACUUCAGCAUCUGCAAAACAAAGGUAAAUCAGAAUUAUAAGGCAGACUUACUUAUAAAGGACAGAACAAAUAAUUAUUAUUUGAGAGCUUUACCUGGUUGAAUGUCUUCCAUGAUCCAGCUCCUUGUGCACAUCAUCGCUUCAGCGGUAGAAUAGUGCAGCCUGCUCCAGUAGGGGUCUAACAAUCUUCCACCUGAACUGAAAGCACUUUCAGAUGCAACCGAAGAGACAGGAAUUGCAAGAAAGUCCAUUGCAAUUGAUUGCAAAGUUGGAUAUUUUAAACCCAUUAAACCUCCACCACUGAAGCAGAUCUAGUGCUGGUUCGUCAGGAUGAGGCUUAGGAACUAAUGUUUCAGCCAGGUAGUGGUCCAGUUCAGUAGUAACCAGAGUGGCCUUACUCUUUUUCUUCAUACUUUUUCUUCUCAUCUCUGGUUUGGUACUCAAGAAUCAAAGAACAAAUAAUGUUCUUGACAUUAUCAACCACUAACUCAAUGUCGGCACUGCCAAACUUGGCAGCAUAAAAUUCAAUGAUAUGGAGCUUAUACCUAGGAUCCAACACUACCGAAAUGACAAGAACAAUGUGGAUAUCGUCCCAAUAUUUGGUGAACUUGAGCCCCAUAUUACUAGCCAUUCCAGAAAUCAACGAAUUACUAUUAGCAAACCAUUGAAUCAGCUGGAGUCUAAGAUCACAAAUGCCUUUGAAAAACAAAUUAGCAGUCGGAUAUUUGCUACCAAAGAAAAACUUUAUCAAUUCAUCAAAAAUUCCCAAAUGGUCAACUACAAUUGCAGCAAAUUCCUAAUGAGCAUUAGAGGGAAUCAUGGUUUACUGAUUAUCUCUUUGCCUCAAACGGGAAAACACAUCUUUUUAAGGAAGAGCAACAUAUAGAAUUUCACACGUAGAGUUCCAUCUAGUUGGGAAAUAAGGGACAACUUUUCGGUCAAAAUCAACUCGAACUUGCUUAACAGUUUCAAAGAAGAUCUAAACCCGUUUAGGUGUAGAGUUCCAAUCCACUUGCUUAGGGAGAGUGUAGUACACUACACUCUCCCUAAGCAAGUGGAUUCCAUCCUUGAUUACAUCCAAACCAUCCCUCACAAUCAAAUUCAAUAUAUGAGCAGCACACCUCAUAUGAAUUAAUCUACCUUCCUACAACAUAUCAGAGACAACAAGUUUGUUUUUCAAUUGAUUUACAGUAGAAUCAUUGGUGGAACAGUUGUCCAAUGUGAUAGAGGACAACUUUCCAUGAAUAUUGCAAUCCAACAAUGAAUCAAAAAAAUGGUCAGCCAGGCUCUAACUGGUGUGAGGGGCUGGGACAUACAUAAACCUAAUCAUAAUACUGCGAAGCUUCCAAGCAUUAUCAAUAAAAUGUCCAGUCAUAGCCAUAUACUCCCUUUUCUGAUUAGAGGCAGUCAACAAAUCGGUAGUUACAAAAAUCCUACCAGAAUUACCAUCAAUUAUUCUCUGAAACUCAGGGUUCGGGAAGGCGCACCUAGGCGGCCGCCUAAGAGGAAAAGGCGGUGAGGCAGAGAGAAAACGCCGCGAUUAGUGCGAGGCGGAGUGAAUCAGGCGUUUCUGCGCGGAGGCGACGCCGAAUCGACGCGGAAUCGACGAGGCGACGCGGAAUCGGCGCCUAAUCGGGGAGGAUGCGGAAAAGGCGAGCAGCGUGGAUUUAAAAAAAAUUAAACCUAACCUAAAACGUGUACUUGGAAUCGGCGGUUAGUGCUUUCUCACACUCAUCUUCCUUCGAUCUCCGCUCUGUGCGUCGAUUCUGCCGGCUGUCGUCUCUCGCAACCUAACCUAAAGGUAAGUCUCACUCCUCCCUGCCGUCGAUUCAACGUCGAUUCCGCCGGCGGUCAUCUUCCUCUUUGUUCAUCGCUGGAAAUCAAAGUGACUGACAGUCCUCUUCCUCUGUGUACAUCGCUGGAAAUCAAGGUCGCUGGUGGUCCUCUUCCUUCUUGUACGUUGCUGGAAAUCAAGGUGGCCGGUGGUCCUCUUCCUCUGUGUACAUCGCUGGAAAUCAAGGUGACUACUUCACCCCUUCCUCUGUGUACAUCGUUGCUGGAAAUCGCUGGGAAUCGAUUUCUAAUAGCACCAUAUCGUGCUCUGCUCCUAACCCAACUUGGCCAAACUAUAGCCAACUAUCUACUGAACUUUUCAAUUCAUUUUUUGUUUUUGUAUAGUCAAGCGACCAUUUCCAUCCACAGCUUCUUAAAAGACAACAAAAUAGAAGAUACUAUUAAACCCAAAAUUGUCGAAUAGAAAUUGUAAUUGUCUAGACAACCCAUAUGAUCCAGCACCCCCAUGCCCUUGAUUUGAUGAUCACUACUUUGUGUACACAAUGGAAGAGGUGAGUGAGUAACUCAACUCCAUUACGAAUCUAAAUCUUAUCUCACAUUUUUCAUCAUUAUUAGGAAGGGAUUCAGUUUGGACCGUGAGUAAAAUGAUAACAGAAUCGUGUACAUCUUCCUCUGUGUAUAUUGCAUCAUAUUUUUCAAAUGCUUUUCAAAUGGAAGCUUUGUCCUAAUCCGAAUAACAUAUCUACUCUUGUUCCAUGAGCUGUAACACAAGUUAUUGUGAAGGACUGUGAGUCAGAAUUUUCAUGAGUUUGUGAAAUUUGGUGAUUGGUGAUGCAUGAUUGCCAUGGCAGAUUCAUCAGGAGUAGACGAUACACAAGUUGAUAGUAGUAGUACUAGUGGCCUGAAAAGAAGGCCGGGUGAUAUUGGGUGGAAAUACGGAAAAAUCGCUGAUCCGAGUAACAAAGACAAAGUCAAGUGCAACUUUUGUCAACAUGUUAGCAGUGGAGGUGUAAACCGUUUCAAGCAACACAUAGCUGGUAUUUGAUCUUCAGUGGCUAAAUGCACAAAAUGCCCCAAAGAAACUCGUGAUGAAUGUUUGGAAUACUUCUUGAGUUUUCAAAAAAAGAAGAAAGAGAAGCAUGAACGUGAACAAGUUCUGAGAGAGGAUGUUAAUGUUUCUUCUGAUGCACAACAUGAAGAGGAGAUGAGUUAUUUUGAUAGUUCGAGACCGACUAGCUUGGGUCCUAUGGAUAAGUGGACACGUCCUAUGGAUAAGUGGACACGUCUUAUAGAUCCUACUAUGACUUCUCUAAUAGCAACACACCAUCAACAGAAGAUAAACAAAGCUAUUCCAUUAAAUGCCAUUAACAAUGACGAUUCAGGCAAAUGUGUGAGGCCAUUGGUCAAUUCGGUCAUGUAUUGAAGCCUCCUUCUCCGUACGACCUUCGAGAGACUUUGUUGAGAGAAGAAUAUGCAAGAACGAAGGGUUUGUUAGCUGACCAUGAGAAAGAGAAGGAAAAGAACGGUUGCUCACUUAUGACUGAUGCUCGGACGGACAUGGAGAGGCGGAGGGUAAAGAAAAUAUUCAUAUAAUGAACAUAGUCACACACUAUGCUGAGGGAACUAGCUUCAUAAAGUCUAUAGACACUUCAAAUAUUUCUCACACAGGUGAGUUCCUUUUUGAGCUAGUUGACAAUGCCAUUGAGGAAGUUGGAGAUGAGCAUGUCAUUCAAGUUGUGACAGACAAUGCUUCCAACAACAUGGCAGCAAAGAAUCUCUUGGAGAAGAAGAGGCCACGCAUAUUUUGGAGUUCUUGUGCAACUCACACCAUCAAUUUAAUGCUCCAAGGAAUUGGCAACAUUCCAAAGUUCAAGAAAGUUAUUGAUGAGGCUAAGGCUUUCACCAUCUUCAUAUAUGGUCAUCAUCGAACUUUAGAGUUGAUGAGGUCCUUCACUAAGAGAAGAGAGAUCAUUCGACCAGGUGUAACACGAUUUGCUUCUCAGUUUCUUACUUUAAAAAGCUUGAUGGAAAAGAAAGAUGAAUUGAGGAAGAUGGUAGUGGAUUAAAAGUGGACUUCUAUUAACGAGACAAGUACAAAGAAAGGCCAAGAUUCUUAUGCCACAAUUCUUAGGAUGGUGUUUUGGAAUGGUGUGGAGAGUUGCUUGAAAUUCUUUGAGCCGUUGGUGAAACUGCUUCGGCUGGUCGAUGGGAAUGUGAAACCUUCGAUGGGUUUAGAUGAAUUGAGGAAGAUGGUAGUGGAUUCAAAGUGGACUUCUAUUAAUGAGACAAGUACAAAGAAAGGCCAAGAUGCUUAUGCCACAAUUCUUAGGAUGGGGUUUUGGAAUGGUGUGGAGAGUUGCUUGAAAGUCUUUGAGCCGUUGGUGAAACUGCUUCGGUUGGUCGAUGGAAAUGUGAAACCUUCAAUGGGUUUUGUGUAUGGAGAACUUCUAAAGGAAAAGAGAGAGCUAACGGAGGCAUUAAUUAGUGAGGAACUUCGCUGCAAAGAAGUCCUUGCUAUUAUGGACAAGAAGAUGAAAGGUAGACUUGAUACUCCCUUGCAUUUAAUAGCAUAUCUCUUGAAUCCUCACUAUAGAUGUGCCGACCCAUCAAUAUUAGAUAAUACCGAUGUUACAUCAUUGAUCACCACUGUUGAGAAAUUCUAUUAUGGUUAUGAUGAGGAUAUACACGAUGAGGCGGGGGGAGGUGUUUGUUGUCUAUUUUCUAAUAAAGGAGGCGUUAAUUAGUGAGGAACUUCGCUGCAAAGAAGUCAUUGCUAUUGUGGACAAGAAGAUGAAAGGUAGACUUGAUACUCCCUUGCAUUUAACAGCAUAUCUCUUGAAUCCUCACUAUAGCUAUGCCGACCCAUCAAUAUUCGAUAAUACCGAUGUUACCACAUCAUUGAUCACCACUGUUGAGAAAUUCUACUAUGGUUGUGAUGAGGAUAUACACGAUCAAGCGGUGAACGUUGAGUUCACCAUAUUUCAAAAGAAAGACGGACACUUUAGAAAGAAGUUAGCAAGAUUUUGUCAGAACUUUGAUUACAAUCCUGGUUAGUACUUCUUCCCUCAUUUCCUUAUCAUUUAUGAUUUAGUCUUAUGAGCUAAUUCAGAUUUAGUUGUCUUCUUAGUUGUUUGGUGGUGAAUGUAUGGAGGUGAGACACCACAUUUGCAGAGGAUGGCUAUAAGGAUAAUGUCAUUAACCUCAACUUCUUCUGCUUGUGAGAGAAAUUGGAGCACUUUUGAGUCGGUUAGUCUUCAAAUCUCUAUCUAAUGUCAUUGCUAUUGUGGAGAAGUGAAUAUUAGAUGCAAGGUCAUAGUUAAUUGUUUUUGUAGAUUCAUACUAAGAGAAGGAAUAGGCUUACAACAAAUCGCCUCAAUCCACUAGUAUACAUUUAAUUCAACUCCCGAUUGAUGUCCAAAAAAAGGAAGCUAAAGAAUAAGAAGAAUGUUGAUGUUCUCAUGAGCUCUGAUUCAGUUGAAGCUCAAGGAUUCAUAUAUGAGGGAGGAGACACGCACACAUUGCAUGUGUUUAGGGAUGAAGACGAUGGAGGACGCAACGACAUCCCAUGGAGUGUUAUUGAUGAUGCAAUUGGAGCUAGUGAGAGUCGUGAACCACGUAGGAGUGCAAGACUAGUGAGAGAGCUCCAUGAUGAAGAGUUUGAUUCCGAAGAAGAAGAAAAUAACGAGGAAAUAGAGCCGAUCGCUUUCGAGGAUGAUGAAGAAUAUUGACGACUUACCAAGCUAUGAGCUUGAUAUCGCCUUUAUGGCUUAUCUUAUGUCUUUAUGGUUUAUCUUAUGUGUGCAUUCUUCUAUGUUAGAACUUGAACAUUAGUUAUCUGUGAACUUUGCACUGUUAUGUUUGAACUUGUUUAUUUCACUUAAAUCUAUUACAUUUUUUCAAAACGCCUAAUCGGCCAAGGUUUAAGGCAGGACCUCACCGCCUUACUACCGCCUUACGCCUCCCAUAACCUUGCUGAAACUUAUCUCUUUUAGCACCAUACAAGGCCAAUAUGUCUCUUUUUACUGUAUUUCUACAAGGGACUGUGAAAAGAGGCUGCAAGGCACAACAAACCCGUUUGAAUCCCAAAUGCUCAACGAUGCUAAGAGGGUACUCAUAAACCAAUAUCAUGGAACAGAGCUCCUUCCUACACACCUCAACAUUGUAUUGGUUUACAAACAGCUUGAUAAUUAGGGCCUAGUAUUUUUGUUGACCGUCAUGCAUCUUUUUAUGGAGACAUGACUUGAGAUGAUUCCUUAAGUGUGAAGUUCCAUUGACAGUUUCUCCUCCUCAUAACUUCAUACAGUACUUGAACCUAGCUUUCAUUAACCCAUUAACCCUACCCCUGUCUAACUCGUGGUUCCGAAUCGUCCUCAUUAACCACAUUAACAUUCCCUACCAGAUCAGCUUCUUGGAGUGUUUCAUUCUGAAUAGUCAGUUCAUUAGGGUUGGAAGCAUUAACAUUAGAUUCCAGAUCAACAUUCAUUACACCUUCCAUCUGACAAGAAAAUGGUUGAGACAAUAGUUCAGUCGAGGAUUCUUAUUAGAUAGGGGGUUGAUAGAAUAGUUCAUAAGAGGAUUCAGAAUCUAAGAAGGUAAGUAUUAAUCAUUAUAAGAGAAAGGGGUUGAUAGGAUUAAUCAUUAGAGGAUUAAGCAUAUGAGAAGAAAGGGGUUGAAUGAAUUAUGCAUUAGAGGAUUAAGCAUUUGAGAAGAAAGGGGUUGAGCGGUUAAGUAUUAGAGGAUAAAGCAUUAGAGGAUAUUUCAUUAGGUUUAUAGUAUUGAGCAUUACAGGAUAGUUAAUUAGGUUUAGGGUCUUAGAAUUUUGAGAUCAGAGUUAUAAGAUAAGAAUAGUUAGUAAAAUAGGCUAGAUUACGUGUACAUGAUCAUAAGAGGAGAUCAUAGUACAAGCUAGAUCUCUUCUGCUCAUUGUCCACUAGUAAUCUAUAUUAUCUUACUUUGAUUUCAUCCCAUACCAUAGAUCAUUUAGCAUUAUGUUGAUGAUUUAAUUUUAGCAGAAGAAAAAGUCUAUACAACACUACAUGGCAGUUGUGACUUGUAAAAUUAUAACUAUUUCAGCAGUUUACAGAAUUUUAACAUUUGCAGCAGCCAGCAUAUUACCUAUACUUUCUAACCAGACAACUUUCAACAACAAACAAGCAACUAACAACACAUUUCGAGCAAACAAGACACAUGCAACUGCCAACAACAAAGAGGUAGUAGUUCUGAAAUAAAGGUGACCUCUAGUGAAUUGUUAAGUAGACACCUAGUUUAUUAAACCUGGAAUGAGUAUUGGAAGUUGCUAAUCGGCAAAGCCUGCAAAAAUAAUGAACACACCAUGGCAGGGUUCGGUAAUGCAUGCCUAGACUCUAGUACUUAUGAUCAACCAAAGCUUUAAAGCACAAAAUUGAACUAAAGCUUACUCUGUACUCUGUAGUGUACUUUGUAACUCUGAAUGUUUGAACGUGGUUCUGAGAAGCUCUGCAGCACUCCUAUAUAUAGCUCUAGAACAGGGGAUACCGGAUGUAUAAGACUCACUGUCAAAUACGAAAGUCGAAACCCUAAUUACUAAUUAAUUAUAAAAUCUCAAAAGUUUUAAAAAAGGGAAAGGAGUAUGGAUGCUUAUCUGUAUACUGCAAUCAAAGAAUCCAGUACAUGCUUCUGUCGAAGAAGCCUAACAGACUCUGGCAAAAAUUGACGAAAAACUCCACCGAUUCCAACACCCAUAGCCAUACGAUUAGAUGGAUUCAUGAAUAGAAUAAUGAAUAUGGGGAGAAAUCGAUAUUUUGGUUGAGGAUUUCACUCCAGACCCGCGAGAUUUGAGGGUAAGUCGCCAAUCUAGGUAUGGGAAUCGAGAGAGAAUCGACGAAGGGUGGAGGUGAGAAGUGAGAAAUUAGGAGAAAAAGCUAGGGUUUUCUGAGUUA
rnacentral:lncRNA from 1 species